GACGAACGCUGGCGGCGUGCUUAACACAUGCAAGUCGAACGGUAAGGCUCCAGCUUGCUGGGGUACACGAGUGGCGAACGGGUGAGUAACACGUGGGUGACCUGCCCUGCACUUCGGGAUAAGCCUGGGAAACUGGGUCUAAUACCGGAUAGGACCAUGGUGUGGAUACUGUGGUGGAAAGUUUUUUCGGUGUGGGAUGGGCCCGCGGCCUAUCAGCUUGUUGGUGGGGUAAUGGCCUACCAAGGCGGCGACGGGUAGCCGGCCUGAGAGGGUGGACGGCCACAUUGGGACUGAGACACGGCCCAGACUCCUAAGGGAGGCAGCAGUGGGGAAUAUUGCACAAUGGGCGGAAGCCUGAUGCAGCGACGCCGCGUGGGGGAUGACGGCCUUCGGGUUGUAAACUCCUUUCACCAGCGACGAAGGGUUUCUGACGGUAGAUGGAGAAGAAGCACCGGCUAACUACGUG
rnacentral:rRNA from 1 species